rnacentral:rRNA from 1 species
GACGAACGCUGGCGGCGUGCUUAACACGUGCAAGUCGAACGGAAAGGCCCUGCUUUUGUGGGGUGCUCGAGUGGCGAACGGGUGAGUAACACGUGAGUAGCCUGCCCUUGACUUUGGGAUAACUUCAGGAAACUGGGGCUAAUACCGGAUAGGAGCUCCUGCUGCAUGGUGGGGGUUGGAAAGUUUCGGCGGUUGGGGAUGGACUCGCGGCUUAUCAGCUUGUUGGUGGGGUAGUGGCUUACCAAGGCUUUGACGGGUAGCCGGCCUGAGAGGGUGACCGGCCACAUUGGUACUGAGAUACGGCCCAGACUCCUACGGGAGGCAGCAGUGGGGAAUAUUGCACAAUGGGCGGAAGCCUGAUGCAGCAACGCCGCGUGCGGGAUGACGGCCUUCGGGUUGUAAACCGCUUUCGCCUGUGACGAAGCGUGAGUGACGGUAAUGGGUAAAGAAGCACCGGCUAACUACGUG